rnacentral:misc_RNA from 1 species
CCAGCUGUGUCAAUCAUGUCAUCCACCAUAACUGCAACCUUUCCUUUUACAUCACCAAUAAGGUUCAUCACCUCAGCAACAUUGUGUCCCUGACGCCUUUUGUCCACAAUAGCUAAAGGGGCAUCAGAUAAUUUUUUAGCAAAAGCACGAGCUCUUGCAACUCCACCAACAUCAGGUGAAACCACUACCAAAUCAUUAGAAGAAAUUGUCUUGCUUGCAAGAUAAUCAAGAAUCACAGGCUGACAGUACAGAUGGUCAACAGGGAUAUCAAAGUAACCCAUAGACUGCCCAGAAUGAAUAUCACAAGCAAGAACACGAUUUGCAC